AUUGAACGCUGGCGGCAUGCUUUACACAUGCAAGUCGAGCGGCAGCGCGGGCUUCGCCCUUGCGGCGAGUGGCGAACGGGUGAGUAAUGCAUCGGAACGUGCCCAGUAGUGGGGGAUAGCCCGGCGAAAGCCGGAUUAAUACCGCAUACGACCUGAGGGUGAAAGCGGGGGACCGUAAGACCUCGCGCUAUUGGAUCGGCCGAUGUCGGAUUAGCUAGUUGGUGGGGUAAAGGCUUACCAAGGCGACGAUCCGUAGCUGGUCUGAGAGGACGACCAGCCACACUGGAACUGAGACACGGCCCAGACUCCUACGGGAGGCAGCAGUGGGGAAUUUUGGACAAUGGGGGAAAGCCUGAUCCAGCCAUGCCGCGUGCGGGAAGAAGGCCUUCGGGUUGUAAAGCGCUUUUGUUCGGGAAGAAAUCCUGUGGGCUAAUACCCCGGGGGGAUGACGGUACCGGAAGAAUAAGCACCGGCUAACUACGUG
rnacentral:rRNA from 1 species